CUUUACUGUAGCCUGGUAUUGGGUUCGGGCUUUGCCUGCGCAGGAUAGGUGGGAGACUGAGAAGUGUGCCUUGUGGGGCACAUAGAGUCAACGGUGAGAUACCACUCUGUCAGAGCUAGAAUUCUAACCUUCACCCGUGAUCCGGGGAAGGAACCGUAUCAGGUGGGCAGUUUGACUGGGGCGGUCGCCUCCUAAAAGGUAACGGAGGCGCGCAAAGGUGUUCUCAGGCUGGUUGGAAAUCAGCCGUAGAGUGUAAAGGCAGAAGAACGCUUGACUGUGAGAGUGACAACUCCAGGAGGGUGGAAACACGGCCUUAGUGAUCCGACGGUAUGCGCGUGGAAGUGCCGUCGCUCAACGGAUAAAAGUUA
rnacentral:rRNA from 1 species